rnacentral:rRNA from 1 species
AAUCAACGCUGGCGGCGUGCCUAACACAUGCAAGUCGUACGAGAAAGUCCGCAAGGAUGAGUAAAGUGGCGACCGGGUGAGUAACACGUGACUACCUACCUUCUAGUGGGGGAUAACUCCGGGAAACCGGAGCUAAUACCGCAUAACAUCGCAAGAUCAAAGCAGCAAUGCGCUGGAAGAGGGGGUCGCGGCUGAUUAGCUAGUUGGUAGGGUAAUGGCCUACCAAGGCAAAGAUCGGUAUCCGGCCUGAGAGGGCGCACGGACACACUG